rnacentral:hammerhead_ribozyme from 1 species
GCAUUGCUGAGGAGCCCCACCAUAGGACGAAAUGGCCGUCCAGUGC